AUUGAACGCUGGCGGCAGGCCUAACACAUGAAAGUCGAACGAGUGGCGGACGGGUGAGUAAUGUAUGGGAAACUGCCUGAUGGAGGGGGAUAACUACUGGAAACGGUAGCUAAUAAAGCAUAACAUCAGAUGGGAACAGAUGGGAUUGGCUAGUUGGUGGGGUAACGGCUCACCAAGGAGCAGAGCCCUAGCCGGUCUGAAAGGAUGACCAGGCCCACUGGAAAUGAGACACGGUCCAGACUCCUACGGGAGGCAGCAGUGGGGAAUAUUGCACAAUGGGCGCAAGCCUGAUGCAGCCAUGCCGCGUGUAGGAAGAAGGCCUUCGGGUUGUAAAGUACUGUCAGCGGGGAGGCGUUACCCGAAGAAGAAGCACCGGCUAACUCCGUGCCAGCAGCCGCGGUAAUAC
rnacentral:rRNA from 1 species